rnacentral:rRNA from 1 species
UACGUAGGGGGCAAGCGUUGUCCGGAAUUAUUGGGCGUAAAGAGCGUGUAGGCGGUUCGGUAAGUCUGCCGUGAAAACCUGGGGCUCAACCCCAGGCGUGCGGUGGAUACUGCCGGGCUAGAGGGUGGUAGAGGCGAGUGGAAUUCCCGGUGUAGCGGUGAAAUGCGCAGAUAUCGGGAAGAACACCCGUGGCGAAGGCGGUUCUCUGGGACGGUACUGACGCUGAGACGCGAAAGCGUGGGGAGCGAACAGG